ensembl:lncRNA
AUGGGGAUCUGCUUGGGGCUGUUUGUUUUGCAGAAGAAAACAGAAGGCUUUAGUGUAUCGGAAUCCUGCCCCUCCUCCUGCACCAGGGCCUCCCCCACCACUUGAAAGCUGCUGAGCAAACAGAGAAAUCAAAGAUGAUUAUAUGCUGCUGGAAACCCGCGUGCUUCCGCCUGGCUGCAUCUCCCUGCCAAACUGUUAUGUAAGCCACAGCCCCACUCAGGCCUGGAAUCAAACAGAGAUGCCAUUGAGAGCCCUCCCUUGACCCACUCAUCACCUGCAGCCUGGCUCAAACCAUGUCUCACCUGGAGUAGACCUGCCCGGGGUGGGCCAUGCAUGAUCUGUGGCCGGCAGGUGGCUUUUCCAUCUCCUUUCCCAUCUAGCACAGAGGUAUGGGUGGGUCAGGACCAGGCAUUUACUUUGGUUAGAUUCCAAAUGACUAAGAUAUUUUAGGAUGGAAAACUCCAUUUGACAAUCCCAGGGAGUUGAGUAUUUUUCACCCUUCUAAGUGAAUAAUUCACUCUGGCUGUUUAGGUACCAGAGCUGAAUAAGUGGCUCUGGAGUCUGAGAUGACCUCCUGGUCAGAAAGGGCCACCCACACUGCUUUGAUGACCAGUACUUAUUUCUAUGCAGGGAUUCUGGGCAUCUUCCUCAGCCCUAAACCACCGAAAUGGACUUAUAAGAGCUGUUCCUUAAAUGCCUUCGUGACUUGAGUAAAUGAGCCGACUUCUCAGGGCUUUGGUUUCUUCUUUCUGCAUCACAAGGGGAACCAACCUCCAAGUCCAGCCCUCUUCUUCAGGGAAACUUCGCUCCUCACUGUGCUUCAAGAUGACCUUUGGCUUCAAACAAAAAUGUGAGUCUGAAUUUGGUAAAGCUUGGGUCUUUUCAUUCUUCCCAGCUCUCCCAGUCCAGAGGAAUAAAUAUUCCUGCUCCUAAAACCCAGUGGUCUCUGUGAAUGAGCUCAUCUAGUCCCUGCUGGCUUUCUGUAUAGUAAUGAAGCUCAUGUUGACCAGCGUUUCUACAUUGUUAUGUCUGUCUGUCUGUCUGUCUGUCUGUCUGUCUGUCUGUCUGUCUGUCUGUCUAUCUAUCUAUCUAUCCAUCCAUCCAUCCAUCCAUCCAUCCAUAUAGCUAUAUAUAUGACUUUGUAUAUAAUAUAAAACUAUAUAUCUAUUAAAUUUAUAAAGAUAAUACUGAUGUUAUCGGGGCAGGAGCCUGAGAACUGAGCCUUUUUGCAUCCCUUUCUCUCUCUGUCUCCUCCUGAGAUCUCCACCUGGAGAAAGGGGAUAAGAAUAGAAUGAAGUUGAAUAUCUUGACUAAGGGAGGUGGUUUCUUCAUCAGACACACUCCUCUGAAUCAGGGGGUAGUCAGAAGCUGGUGCAGGCAGGUAAUAUGGAAUAGCAGCCUAGUUAAAGCAUGGAGGCUGCAUCAAUGCCACACUCAACCCCUCAACAAAUGGGCACAACCAGAACAGGACGUUAAGAACCGGAGAACGCUUCCACAUGCCUGAGAACAAACAGAGUGAAAAGACUGGUUAGCCUAUCUGCUGAUCUGUGAGAUCAGCCCCUUGGAAGCCUUUUCUUCAAUCCCAGGCAUUAUGACUGAAUUCAACCACUCUUGAGAGAUGGACAGAGGAGCUUGAGUCAGGAUCGUGGGGUUCAAAUGGCUGCAAUUCCCCAAGAUAUCAACAACAAAGUUUAAAAAGUAUGUGAUCGUUUUUGUCAAUUAUGUUUUCUCUAUAAAAUAAAAAAAUAAACUUCAGGAAUCACUGACCUAUGUAUCUUAAUAUUUAGAGUUACACUAACACUCUGGUAUAUAAUUGUGGUGCUUCCACACUAACUUUAAGCAUUAAUAAUUACUACUCAGUUUAAUCUAGCCUAUAAUGUUAUAUACAGUAAAUUAAUUGUUCCUGAAGUUUCUAAGAAUAAUUCUGAAAUAUGCAUGUGGCUGUGAAGAAUGAGGUUUUGUAUUUUUAAUAAAAAAUAAACUUUUUUUUCUUUUUUCUCAUCCCCCAACUUUAUUGUUUUAUAACCGUUUUAGAUUUACAGAAAAAUUGCAAGGAGAGUACAGAGCUCGUGUACCUCUCCCUCAUUUUUUCCUAUCGAUAAUAUCUUACAUCUUACAGGACUGUGGUACAUUUGUUAUGAUUAACAAACCAGUAUUGACACAUGAUUGUGAA